UGUAGUGGAAGGAUGCAUAAAUGUAAGUAACCGCCGCUGUAACUUUCUUUUUUCCCUCGUGGAAAACUCUACAGACCAACCAAACGUGUCCUAUUGAGGGAUGAGUCUUGAUUUACAAACGGCAUCCUUACUAAACAAAAAGGAGGAUGACAAGAGUAAGCAAGGACUUAAACAGAAAUCAGGAGCCUCGAAAGAUUGGCCUGAAAAAGACCAGGGCGGAGUGAAGAACCAAACACAACGCAGUGCUUCCAGUGGGAGUAGCAGCUCCAGCUCCAGUAGCGGCUCAGGUUCAAGUUCCAGCUCGUCCACAAGCUCUUCCGCCUCCAGUUCCUCUAGCUCCCGCUCUUCUUCCUCCUCGUCAUCGACCUCGCCAAGCCCCAUCCGCCAACGACACAACAGACAACGCUCCAGCUCAAAGUCCAAAUUGGCCAAGAAAGAUGAUCGUGAACGGAGAAGGAGGAGUCCAGCUCCGAAACCCACCAAAGUUUACCUGGGCCGGCUAACAAGAAAUGUAAUCAAGGAACACAUUCAGGAGAUCUUCUCCACCUACGGCAAGAUCAAGAUGAUUGACAUGCCCAUGAACCGCGUUCACCCUCAUCUGUCCAAGGGCUAUGCCUACAUAGAGUUCGAGACCCCCGAAGAAGCAGAGAAGGCACUCAUACACAUGGAUGGAGAUAGAUGGUCAGGAGAUUACAGUCAUAGCCGUCCUGACUCCUACAGUGCGCGCUCCACCUCGGAGGAUGUCCCCUCCCCGCAGAAUGCCGCCUCCACCCCUGAUGUGGCGACGCUCUCCGCCUCGGAUGAGGAGAAGGUCUCCCAGGCGGCGCUCCCCGGUCCGACGCAGGUCCUGAUCGCCAGGCCGCCGUUGCCACCGGUCCCGCUCUAGUCCCAACUCUUCCUGUUAGAGAUCAAUAUAUGACCCCAGAACACUCAAGACACUAAGAGAGACAUUUCGUUGUCUGAAUGCUGAGACGAGAAUUCAUACGCAAUUGACCCAUCAGUGUGUUGUGUUGGAUGAGGAACUGUUGGAGAUCACCUGAGAGUCCAGAGAUCGGCAGACCUCAACCCCUGCCAGUGUGCACUGACGUCGCUGCAGGUUCUCUAUCAUCACAUGCCCAAAACGGUCACUCAUGUUCACCUGGACAUACACACAGCGAGAUCAUCUCAAGACAGUCUCACUUGACACUUCAUUAGAUACAUGCUCAGUUUUGAUUGACACUUUCAGAGAGGUACCAUGUUGUGGUUACCUGUUCGUAGUUAAUGAACAUGGCAGUGUGAAAGGUAUCUCCAGCCCAAUGAACCAAACUGGAUGACUGAGCUGGCGCCAUGUAGACCAGCACACACUCUGAAAGCAGCAAUGUGGGCAACCUUGAAAACAGAAUUACAGUUUAUCAUUAUCCACCAUAUUUAAAUACAUUUCAACAUCUUCAACAUGGAGAUGAAACCCACAUUUCAUCCUCACAUACUCUGGGUUAAGAUGGAACUUCUUCAGUUUUUCAUCCAAAGUAGCGAUGUCUCUGAGGUCCGCACCGAUGAUGCAAUAUCGAUCCGAGUCAAGGCUGUGAGCGUCUGAGGAAAUAAACACACAAUAAUAUUGAUUGCUAAUAUUUGCUGAAAACCAAUGAGAUGUAACUUAAUGACAUGGACAUGAGCUUUGAGGUUUACCUAGUAGCAAGGAAUCUGUUGAAUGGGUUUCGAUGAUGGGCUUGGAUAAUUGUGGUUUUGUCCUAGUUACAUGAAAUAAACAUGACAAUGCAAAAAUAUAACUGCACUGUCAAAAACAAACAGAUCAACCUACAAGAUUGUAUAAUUCAUGAUGUUUGAGAGUUGAGUGACCUGAUUUACGAGUUUUUCAAGAUACAAGCAUUCAUUCAAUCGAUUUUCUUUUUUUUGUU